rnacentral:rRNA from 1 species
GCUACUGCCAUCAGAGUUCGAUUAAGCCAUGUUAGUUAAGGGGACCUUCCUUCGGGGAGGUAACCCGGCAGACGGCUCAGUAACACGUGGACAACUUACCCUUGGGACCGGGAUAACCCCUGGGAAACUGGGGCUAAUACGGGAUAGAGCAUCGGCUGCUGGAAUGCGCGAUGUUCGAAAGCUGAGGCGCCCAAGGAUAGGUCUGCGGCUGAUUAGGUUGUUGUUGAUGUAACGGAUCAACAAGCCCGCGAUCGGUACGGGUUGUGAGAGCAAUAGCCCGGAGAUGGGUUCUGAGAAAAGAACCCAGGUCCUACGGGACGCAUCAGGCGCGAAAACUUUACAAUGUGAGAAAGCGCGAUAAGGGAACUCUGAGUGCCUCCUAAGGAGGCUGUUCAGGUGUCUAAAAAGCAUCUGGAGUAAGGGCUGGGCAAGACCGGUGCCAGCCGCCGCGGUAACACCGGCAGCUCAAGUGGUAGCCAUGCUUAUUGGGUCUAAAGCGUCCGUAGCCGGCUGAGUAAGUUCCUUGGGAAAUUUGACCGCUUAACGGUUAAGCUAUCAGGGAAUACUGCUUGGCUUGGGACCGGGAGAGGUCAGAGGUACUCCAGGGGUAGGGGUGAAAUCUAUUAAUCCUUGGGGGACCACCGGUAGCGAAGGCGUCUGACCAGACCGGGUCCGGCGGUGAGGGACGAAGGCUGGGGUCGCGAACCGGAUUAGAUACCCGGGUAGUCCCAGCUGUAAACGAUGCGGGCCAGGUGUUGGCAUUACUGCGAGUGAUGUCAGUGCCAAAGGGAAGCCGUUAAGCCCGCCAUCUGGGGAGUACGGUCGCAAGGCUGAAACUUAAAGAAAUUGGCGGGG